UACGUAGGGUGCGAGCGUUAAUCGGAAUUACUGGGCGUAAAGCGUGCGCAGGCGGCGCCGCAAGUCAGGCGUGAAAUCCCCGGGCUUAACUUGGGAAUGGCGCUUGAAACUACGGUGCUGGAGUGUGGCAGAGGGAGGUGGGAUUCCACGUGUAGCGGUGAAAUGCGUAGAGAUGUGGAGGAAUACCGAUGGCGAAGGCAGCCCCCUGGGUCGAUACUGA
rnacentral:rRNA from 1 species